CGCCGGCCUCGGAUGAACUAAGCCAUGCGAGUCAUUGUAGUAAUACAAGGCAGACGGCUCAGUAACGCGUAGUCAACCUAACCUAUGGACGGGAAUAACCUCGGGAAACUGAGUAUAAUGCCCGAUAGAACAUUAUGCCUGGAAUGGUUUAUGUUCCAAAUGAUUUAUCGCCGUAGGAUGGGACUGCGGCCUAUCAGUUUGUUGGUGAGGUAAUGGCCCACCAAGACUAUUACAGGUACGGGCUCUGAGAGGAGUAGCCCGGAGAUGGGUACUGAGACACGGACCCAGGCCCUAUGGGGCGCAGCAGGCGAGAAAACUUUGCAAUGUGCGAAAGCACGACAAGGUUAAUCCGAGUGGUUUCUGCUAAAGGAACCUUUUGUCGGUCCUAGAAACACCGAUGAAUAAGGGGUGGGCAAGUUCUGGUGUCAGCCGCCGCGGUAAAACCAGCACCUCAAGUGGUCAGGAUGAUUAUUGGGCCUAAAGCAUCCGUAGCCGGCUCUGUAAGUUUUCGGUUAAAUCUGUACGCUCAACGUACAGGCUGCCGGGAAUACUGCAGAGCUAGGGAGUGGGAGAGGUAGACGGUACUCGGUAGGAAGGGGUAAAAUCCUUUGAUCUAUUGAUGACCACCUGUGGCGAAGGCGGUCUACCAGAACACGUCCGACGGUGAGGGAUGAAAGCUGGGGGAGCAAACCGGAUUAGAUACCCGGGUAGUCCCAGCUGUAAACUAUGCAAACUCAGUGAUGCAUUGGCUUGUGGCCAAUGCAGUGCUGCAGGGAAGCCGUUAAGUUUGCCGCCUGGGAAGUACGUACGCAAGUAUGAAACUCACAUGAAUUGA
rnacentral:rRNA from 1 species